rnacentral:misc_RNA from 1 species
GUAUCAGAAGUCGAUCAGUCUCUCAGCUUUUGCAGAGGAUUUGAUCACUUCGAGAGAUGCAGACACCGCUGAGCGAAAGCUAUGAAUCAGUACUCGACUGGCGCGCGAGCGGAUAUUCACUUCACCCCUACCAUGACACAACUUGAGUUCUCUUAACUGACGAGUUGGAGAGUCAGCACACCUCUCUUCAUGCAUCUACGGGAUGGAGCUAGGACGAGCAAAGAUUCGCUAUCUACUCAGGAGCUCCUUCUCUCAGAUGGUUCGCAACCACGGGUGAAACUCCCAGCAUGAACAACAUUUUGGGGUCUGCUCUACUGGUUCUGUCGCAAGACAGUAUUCCAGAAGUUGCUGAACGGAUGCUGCAAAGCCUCUGCUACGACGCAACUGGUGAGACUGAUUAAAAACGCAUGAGCGAGUAACUAAAACGUGAAGCUGAGCACAAACUACGAAGCUACCGAGUGAAAGGAAACCCCUCAGUACAUGCACUAAGAGGACGCAGGGUGAUGACGAGUUGGAGACUUAGCAAGCCCCUCAUGAAUCCUGUCUCCGUGGAUAUGAAGCGGUGACGGACACGGAAACGUCCAUGAGCUCUCCGAAAGUAUGGGUAGCUCCCUUGGGUGCAACUCCCUGUAUGGAUAAUACCUCCUGAAUGCUUUGGAGGGAUGGACUGUCGUUUGAACAGUCAUAUGUCUCCUCCAUCUGCUGUUGACUUGGUAUCAGCACACCAGGAAUCACGGUAAAGAGAACCGCUGACACACGAUCCGAACCUGAUCCAGCUUUUUCCGCCUGAGCAUAAGCGUCUGCAAAGACCGCCACCGAGCAAAGUGUUUGUGCCCAACCUGCCAGACCGCCAGAGCAAAGAGCCAGUCCGAGCCGCAAUGAGCCAGAACUGGAGCCGCCGACCGACAAAUGCCAACAACAAAACACUAAGAGAAUGCUGAAAAGCCGCCUGGAGCUGCACGAUGGUGAAAUUCCACCAGCCCCCAGAGAAGGAGACGUUGUAGCGACUGAGACACGUUAAGUUAUGCCAGCACAAGAGUGACACUGUGAAACGAUGACGGCAGCGCGAAGGUGGAACUGUGAACUGUGAGAGCAGAAUGCCAGCACCUUGAGAGCAUGGGCCAGAGCCAAUCAGUAAGAGCCAGAGCCAUGACGAUAAGCCAGUGAGUGUCAAUGAGCUAAUAAGAGCUAGGUGUUAUGCCAAUGAGAGCCUGAGCUGAAUCGAGCCAGAGCCAAUAAGAGCAGAGAGAUCCAAAGCCAACGAGCCAGAUCUAAAGAGUCAGAGCUCCACAGAGGAGCCAUACUAAAGGCAGUCGGAAGUUGAUCUUCUUGAUCCAAGAAAGGAUGUAGGCAGUCGAACCUCGACACGAGGAUGUAGACGAGACCGAACCUUUUAGUCUAUAGAAAAGAGGAUGUAAGCAGUGAGCUGAACCUCUGGGAUUAAUAUAUUAUGGCCCAUGAAAGCCCACCCA